CAGCCGCCGCAGGAAUACGUAGGUGGCAAGCGUUGUCCGGAAUUAUUGGGCGUAAAGGGCUCGCAGGCGGUUUCUUAAGUCUGAUGUGAAAGCCCCCGGCUCAACCGGGGAGGGUCAUUGGAAACUGGGAAACUUGAGUGCAGAAGAGGAGAGUGGAAUUCCACGUGUAGCGGUGAAAUGCGUAGAGAUGUGGAGGAACACCAGUGGCGAAGGCGACUCUCUGGUCUGUAACUGACGCUGAGGAGCGAAAGCGUGGGGAGCGAACAGGAUUAGAUACCCGAGUAGUCCCUGUCUCUUAUAC
rnacentral:rRNA from 1 species